CCAAUAGCGUAUAUUAAAGUUGUUGCAGUUAAAAAGCUCGUAGUUGAAUUUCGGGAUCAAUUUACUGGUCGUGCUAUUGUACGUACUGGUUUUAUUGGUUUCUACCUUCUGACGAACCAUGAUGUCAUUAAUUUGGUGUUAUGGGGAAUCAGGACUGUUACUUUGAAAAAAUUAGAGUGUUUAAAGCAGGCUCACGCUUGAAUACAUUAGCAUGGAAUAACGAAAUAGGACGUUUGAUUCUAUUUUGUUGGUUUCUAGGAUCGACGUAAUGAUUAAUAGGGAUAGUUGGAGGCAUUAGUAUUCAAUUGUCAGAGGUUAAAUUCUUGGAUUUAUUGAAGACUAACUACUGCGAAAGCAUUUGCCAAGGAUGUUUUCAUUAAUCAAGAACGAAAGUUAGGGGCUCGAAGACGAUCAGAUACCGUCGUAGUCUUAACCAUAAACUAUGCCGACUAGGGAUCGGAUGAUGUUAAUUUUUUAAUGACUCAUUCGGCGCCUUACG
rnacentral:rRNA from 1 species